UGACGGUACUUGACUAAGAAGCCCCGGCUAACUACGUGCCAGCAGCCGCGGUAAUACGUAGGGGGCAAGCGUUAUCCGGAUUUACUGGGUGUAAAGGGAGCGUAGACGGUAUGGCAAGUCUGAAGUGAAAUGCUGGGGCUCAACCCCAGAACUGCUUUGGAAACUGUCAAACUAGAGUGCAGGAGAGGUAAGUGGAAUUCCUAGUGUAGCGGUGAAAUGCGUAGAUAUUAGGAGGAACACCAGUGGCGAAGGCGGCUUACUGGACUGUAACUGACGUUGAGGCUCGAAAGCGUGGGGAGCAAACAGGAUUAGAUACCCUG
rnacentral:rRNA from 1 species